rnacentral:rRNA from 1 species
UACGUAGGGUGCAAGCGUUGUCCGGAAUUAUUGGGCGUAAAGAGCUCGUAGGCGGUUUGUCGCGUCUGCUGUGAAAACUCGGGGCUUAACUCCGGGCCUGCAGUGGGUACGGGCAGACUAGAGUGCGGUAGGGGAGACUGGAAUUCCUGGUGUAGCGGUGAAAUGCGCAGAUAUCAGGAGGAACACCGGUGGCGAAGGCGGGUCUCUGGGCCAAUACUGACGCUGAGGAGCGAAAGCGUGGGGAGCGAACAGG